rnacentral:misc_RNA from 1 species
GAUGAAGAACGCAGCAAAAUGCGAUAAGUAAUGUGAAUUGCAGAAUUCAGUGAAUCAUCGAAUCUUUGAACGCACAUUGCGCCCGCCAGUAUUCUGGCGGGCAUGCCUGUUCGAGCGUCAUUUCAACCCUCAAGCUCUGCUUGGUGUUGGGGCCCUACGGUUGACGUAGGCCCUUAAAGGUAGUGGCGGACCCUCUCGGAGCCUCCUUUGCGUAGUAACUAACGUCUCGCAUUGGGAUUCGGAGGGACUCUUGCCGUAAAACCCCCAAAUUUUCUAAUGGUUGACCUCGGAUCAGGUAGGAAUACCCGCUGAACUUAAGCAUAUCAAUAAGCGGAGGA